rnacentral:rRNA from 1 species
UACGUAGGGUGCGAGCGUUGUCCGGAAUUAUUGGGCGUAAAGAGCUCGUAGGCGGUCUGUCGCGUCGGAUGUGAAAACUCGGGGCUCAACCCCGAGCCUGCAUUCGAUACGGGCAGACUAGAGUUCGGUAGGGGAGACUGGAAUUCCUGGUGUAGCGGUGAAAUGCGCAGAUAUCAGGAAGAACACCCGUGGCUAAGGCGGCUCUCUAGUACGGUACUGACGCUGAGACGCGAAAGCGUGGGGAGCAAACAGG